rnacentral:rRNA from 1 species
UUUCUUCGGAAAUGGAUUAGCGGCGAACGGGUGAGGAACACGUGAAGAAUCUGCCCUCCACUUUGGGAUAACACCGGGAAACCGGUGCUAAUACUGAAUAUUGAAACAUAAGUGGCAUCACUGAGUUUUGAAAGAAUUUCGGUGGAGGAUGACUUCGCGGCCUAUCAGCUAGUUGGUGAGGUAUGGCUCACCAAGGCAACGACGGGUAGCCGGCCUGAGAGGGCGACCGGCCACACUGGGACUGAGACACGGCCCAGACUCCUACGGGAGGCAGCAGUGGGGAAUAUUGGGCAAUGGAGGAAACUCUGACCCAGCGACGCCGCGUGCGGGAUGAAGGCCUUCGGGUUGUAAACCGCUUUCAGUAGGGAAGAAGCGAAAGUGACGGUACCUACAAAAGAAGCACCGGCUAACUAUGUGCCAGCAGCCGCGGUAAUACAUAGGGUGCAAGCGUUGUCCGGAAUUAUUGGGCGUAAAGAGCUCGUAGGUCGUUUGUUACGUCGGAUGUGAAAACCUGAGGCUCAACCUCAGGCCUGCAUUCGAUACGGGCAAACUAGAGUUUGGUAGGGGAGACUGGAAUUCCUGGUGUAGCGGUGGAAUGCGCAGAUAUCAGGAGGAACACCAAUGGCGAAGGCAGGUCUCUGGGCCAAUACUGACACUGA